ACUGCUGGAAAACUCUUCAAAACCCCAGAGACUGCUGUAGGAAAACCACACUGGGGAUGCUGCUGGCUGGCAACAUCUGUGGGUAGUGCCCUGGGCAUAGUCACAAAGGACUCUGCCAGCUACACAAAACAGCACACACAGAAGAUGGGCAGCAACCAGAUAGGACGAUCAGAAAACUCAAGCCGAAGAAGUAACCCGGUUGGCAACAGACAAUAGCCGCCCGGCUCUGUGUCUGUCUCUAACACUAAUGCUCUCCUCCCGAGUGCAGAGAGCCCGGACUCCCCUUAACUGCAGCUCAACUAAGCGGCCACUACUUGGUGCUUUGGAUUCUGAAGCAGUAACAGCUACUGUGGUAAAACAGCAGGCAGAACUUCAGUCCCGAGCCACUUCUCAAGAGCAUUUUCAACUGUAACCAUUCUACUUUCAUAAGGAUCGAACUCAGGACCUUGCACUUGCCAGGCCAGUGUAGUGCCACUGAGCUAUGUCCUGGCCCACUAACUGAACUGCAAUGCAGAUGGUUCUCGCAUCACUUCUCUGUGCUGUUUGGGCUCCAGGGACACAGCCUGACUUCAGGACCAGUUCAAGCUGCCGGAGGAACGGGGGGCAGAAACAGCAGCCAGCAAGGGCAUCGGCACCAGGAAGGAGCAGACCAGGCUGGGGUAGAAGAGGUGCUGCUUCCUGACUGAGAAACACUUGAGGAGCACACUGACAAAUCACCUGAUGCAAACUCCAGUUUAAGGAGACUGCUUGCUUUCCAAAUUAGAACGGCUCACCACUGGUUCAUCAAGAAUGGGAGCUAACUACAGUUGCUUUCUAUUUACAUCAACCCAACCAAGACAAGAGAGGACAGAGAGACAAAUGCCAGUGAGAUGUUAUUGAGAGUUCCGCAUCUGCAGUAGAAACAUAAAUACCAUAAAAUUUCCCUCCCUUCAUCCUAUACACUCUUCCCAGAAAUUUGCAUUUUCUAUUAUUUUAUCAAUAUGAAUUUGGAUACAAUUUAUUUUGCUCCUAAACUAUUCCCUGAAGGCCAUGGCACUCAAAAAACUUCAGAUUUUGUAGCAGGGUUUGGAUCUUUAGAUUAGUGAUGCUAAACUGGUAAAGUCUCUGCAAAUAUUCCAAAAUCUAAAACACAAAACAAAAGA